rnacentral:rRNA from 1 species
GUGGGGAAUAUUGGACAAUGGGCGCAAGCCUGAUCCAGCCAUGCCGCGUGGGUGAAGAAGGCCUUAGGGUUGUAAACCCCUUUCAGCGGGGAAGAUAAUGACGGUACCCGCAGAAGAAGUCCCGGCUAACUCCGUGCCAGCAGCCGCGGUAAUACGGAGGGGACUAGCGUUGUUCGGAAUUACUGGGCGUAAAGCGCACGUAGGCGGAUUUGUAAGUCAGGGGUGAAAUCCCGGGGCUCAACCUCGGAACUGCCUUUGAUACUGCGAAUCUCGAGUCCGGAAGAGGUGAGUGGAAUUCCUAGUGUAGAGGUGAAAUUCGUAGAUAUUAGGAAGAACACCAGUGGCGAAGGCGGCUCACUGGUCCGGUACUGACGCUGAGGUGCGAAAGCGUGGGGAGCAAACAGGAUUAGAAACCCCAGUAGUCC